rnacentral:tRNA from 1 species
GCCUGGGUGGCUCAGUGGUUGAGCGUCUGCCUUUAGCUCAGUUCAUGAUCCCAGGGUCCUGGGAUUGAGUCCCACAUCAGGCU